ACUGUUGUUCUGUCAUCGUUGAUUGUUGAUCUAUUUAUAGUUGACAAGGUGACAACAAUCACGUUGAAAAACCAUCGAUUUAUGGUUGAGCGGGAAAUUAAAGCUGCUACCACUUGGACUAUUCCGCAGCACCCCUAUCACAUUGGUACAUCCCUCCAGGUAACCAUUGUCUUGUACAGUAGAGCGGGACAUUAGAUUUACUCUCAGCGGAAUUGACCGGAGAAGGCAUCAGUUCAUGCACUGCACUGGCCUGCACCACGAUUAGUAUAAGACAGGGCAAAAAAGGACUCCAAAUUAAAAAAAAGAUAAAAAUGAAAGACUGGUGCAUUGUGCAGUUAGCACUGGUGGUACAGAAAUAGUCCCUAGAUCAUGGAUAAAUGGGGAGAAAUUGUCAUGGCCUCCAUAUCCUCCGUGAGACACAUUCAGGAUCCACGACGCAGUAAAGAGGAGAGUUCAUCCUGGUGCAACAUGGCUCACCUAUGCACCAGUCCGACUUCUAAUAAGCCAUGACACAUUUCACGAAGCAGAACGCAGUCUUCAGAAAUAUCUAAGUGAACACUGUGAUACGUCUGACCUUCAGUCCGAAGCUGAAACUCAGACCAGUCAUAAAAGAAAGCACAAACCAAAUCCCCUGUACACAUAUAGUGACUCAGAGGAUGAGCAGCCCACAAAAAAUGGUUUCCCCAGGCCCCUCGAGUGAAAAUACCAGACCUGACGAGAGCUGUUAACGAACUCCGUGAGGAGGUCAGAGCCAUCCGCAAUACCGGCUGCAAUGAAUCGGUAGAUGCUGGGGUACUGCCUCUGGAUUUGCCCUUGCACAACAUUGAGGAGCUAAACAAUGCAGAGCCAGCUCUUCAAUCACAAGAGGCAAAUAAGGCAAUGGUGAGACGCUUUGCCUUGAUUGGAGCCUGACGCAGCAGUUAGGGGCAAACUCUAUGUCGAGUUUGUCUUUGCACAAGCAGUGCAGAAAUGGCUCCGAUACGCCCCAGAUCGUUUGGGUGGUGCAGGACGCACAUCAUGCAAAAAAUUACAAACUUCUGUGAAUCAUAUAAACGUAAAUAGGAAACUGUCUUUUAAUAAAGUAUUUAGCAAACGAAA